AAAUUCAUCCGAUCUUGUUAGCAAAAACGAUUACAAACAAUAAAGAAGCAACUUCCAGUAGAUAUGAAAGAUCAAGAUCCAGUAGUACAAUUAAAAAAAAACAGGGAAGAAACAAUAAAGAAGCAACCUUUAUAACAGAUAUGAAGAUGAAGAUCCAGUAGUACAAUUCAAAACUUGUGAUACACAAAACAAAAUUACAACAACAUCAAACAGACAUUACAAAACGGAACAAGCUAUUCAACACAAGUCUCUCUCUUUUAUAUCCGCUAAAACUCAGCAAGAACUACUACAACAACCUAUUUAAGAUCAAACCUGUUAAAAAAUUUAUAAUUCACAGAGGAAGACUUGACUUGGAAGUCGCAAGGAUUCAGCUUUACUGAAGCACAAGUCGUCGAGAGCUUCACUACGACACCACCUGCAUCUAGGGAAAGCCGAGCACUGAGAUCUAGAUCGCAUCUCGCAGCAUUUGGGUUUCCUAUUAACCUUUCCCUGCAGCUUCGGAUUUGUACGAUUCUCUAAUAGCUCUCGAUCUAAGACAUGAACUUCAGAUUCGGAAGAAGACAGCGAUGGGCAGAGUAUAAGGAGGUAGAAGAUGAUUAGUAUGAGAAAGAGUGACGAGAAGCUUGAGCUAGAUUCUGCCAUUGAUUGACACAACAAACAGCAAAAAAAAAAAAAAAAAGUAUUUUUGGAAAGUUGUCUUUUUUUAAUUUGUUUCUCUGUUAUAACUCGGCGAAAAGGGGGAGACCCUGUCGAGAUCUUUCUUCCUCGAGUCGGCCUACAAAUCUACACACGUGUGAGAAUAUAUUCACGCGUGUGUGCGCGCAUGUUAGCGGGUUACUCACCAUUAACAAAGGCAGUCACUUUUGUGCUUCCCAACUUUUAGUAGUAGAGAACUCUGUUUGUUACAUUUGGUUUCUUCAAGAAAAUUUCCCAAAUUGGUCUAUGUGAACAUUUAGUUUCAUACAAUUAGUUUUUGAUUCUUAUUCUUUUAGAUCUAUGUUAUGUGAUAGAUUCGAGGUGUUUGUUACUUUGUUUUAAUAUCUUAGCAAGUUAGCUUCAUUCAUACGCAGUUUGUAGCAAAACAAACUCCAUUAAGUUUUCAUGUAUUGAUACUCUCUACUAAUUUUAGAUACAUCAUCUUGUUGCAAUAAAGACAUAACUUGUCUAAAAAGGGAAUAAAAAGACAAGACAUGUGAACACUACUACUAAACUCACAGAUCUGCUUAAAUUUCUUAGUCUGCCUAUUAAAAACCAAGAAAGAGGGCUUGUGCCGCUUCACGUGCCGCUUCAGCAGAGGCUUCCCGUGUUUGAUGGAGUUGUGGAUUUGGUUAGGUGUGGGAGAGCGGUUAACCGGUGGAUUCCGGUUACGGUUAUGGAGUUUUUCUUCUUUGAUUUGGAUCGGAUACUUCGUGGCGGUGGUUAUCUUUGGUUGGAUCGGUUCUUUAGUAAAAAAGUUGAUCUUGAAAACGUUUAUGCGCCCAUGAUUGGGAAGUUGGGUUAUAAGAAGGUGAAAUGGGCGGUGGCGAAUAAAGCUGAUUCGAAACAUGGUGAAGUGUUCUUGACGGCUCUGCUUCAGAAACCUGUUGCAAGAUGAUGAAUCCUUUUUUUUUUUUUUUUGAGGGCACUUUCCUCGAGUAUCAGAAUGUGUAUGUUUGUAGCAAACAGCUUACUGUUGUUGAAGAUUUAAUAGAGACAAGAUUCUUGGAUGAUUUCAGCUCAGACAUGAAAGCUUUUUUUCCAGCUGUAAGCACAGAAGCAGCGAUGUUAUUUCUUCUGCGGAACAAGAAGUAGAGGGGGUAUUUAUAACCAAGAUUUGAUAUUGUUGUUAGAGAGAAACAUGGUGGUAUACAGAAAUUAUGGAAUCUUCUGCUUGUUUCUAUCAUAGCUAAUAUGCAUUUAUAUUAUUCCUUAGAUGGUAUUUUUUUUUUUUUGUGGAAGGCAGAUUGCAAAAUUGUUUAAAGAAGUUUUCAGUUUCAGGGUUAAGUUUCAAACUUUUGCAAGUUAACUUUUGAUGUUUUAUAAUGCUAAGAACGUAUAUAUUUCUU